CUUGAGAGCGGCGUACGGGUGCGGAACACGUGUGAGCUACAGCUUUAUCUGGGGGAUAGCCUUUCGAAAGGAAGAUUAAUACCCCAUAAUAUGUUGAAUGGCAUCAUCGAAAUUGAAAACUCCCGGUGGAUAGAGAUGGGCACGCGCAGAUUAAGAUAAGUGGUGAGGUACGGGUCAACAAGUCUAAGAACUUAGGGGCUGAAAGGGUGAAUCCCCAAAUGUAACUGGAGAACACGGGACCCAGACUCCUAACGGGGAGGCAGCAGUGAGGAAUAUUGGGACACAUGGGGUGGAAGAGCCUGAUUCCAGCCAUUCCCCGCGUGGAAGGGACGACUGGCCCUAUGGGGUUGGUCAAACUUCCUUUUGUAUAGGGGAUAAACUUAACCCUCCGUGAGGGGGUUAGCCUGAAAGGUCACUUAUACGAAAUAACACCGGGUUAAAUUCCCGGUGGCCAGAAGCCGGGUAAUACGGACGGGUGCACACGUUAUUCCCGGGGAUUAAUGGGGGGGUUUCAAAAAGGGGGUCCCCGCAAGGGCGCGGAAUCUGGUAAGUCCCAGGGGGUUGGAAAAAUUCUCCACCCAGGUUACCAAACUUGGGGAA
rnacentral:rRNA from 1 species